rnacentral:rRNA from 1 species
UACGUAGGGUGCGAGCGUUGUCCGGAAUUACUGGGCGUAAAGAGCUCGUAGGUGGUUUGUCGCGUUGUUCGUGAAAACUCACAACUCAAUUGUGGGCGUGCGGGCGAUACGGGCAGACUGGAGUACUGCAGGGGAGACUGGAAUUCCUGGUGUAGCGGUGGAAUGCGCAGAUAUCAGUCGGAACACCGGUGGCGAAGGCGGGUCUCUGGGCCGACAUUGACGCUGAGGAGCGAAAGCGUGGGGAGCGAACAGG